CAGGAACCAUCUCUAAACUGUGGCAGCCACGCAAAUUCACAACCUUCAAGCUCUCAGCCACCUGAAAGCCAGAAAGAAUUCUUGUUGUGACUUGUCUUAUUCUACUUUCUGAAAGAUCAAGAACAGAGAGUUGCCCUCCAUGGAAAUCUGAAGGAAGCUUUUCCAAAGGGCAUCCUUUCCACUGUAACCACUUGAGUUCAGGCCGGCGUUUUCUAAAUCUCGUCCUCAGGUAAUCAAACACUGAGCAGAUGUUGGGCUUGGCCUGGAGUUUCCUCAAUGCUAUUUCAUCCGCACUCGGGUCUCUCACAAACUUCUUCUUGAAAUCAAAUACAAUCCCAUGGAUGGAUCUUGUUCCCUGCUAUUCCAGUACAGAGUCAAAACACAAAUGUUAAAAAAAAACGUUAUUCAUCAAUCUAAUUGCUCAUACCUCUCUCUUCCUCAA